rnacentral:rRNA from 1 species
GCAGAACUCCGCGAAUCAUCGAAUUUUUGAACGCAAAUGGCGCCCUUGGGUUACCCCCUUGGGCACACCUCUCUGAGUGUCGGUUUAACCCUAUGUCACCUCUUAAUUUAUUUUAAGUGGUGUACGAAAGCUGAGGGUAAGGGGUCUUGUACUCUUUUCCCUUUAAAUUCUAGCCGACGCAGUUACGUGCCGGUGGCAAGUUGCUUUCACUUAACUGUGAAUUCAAAUCCAUUGACCUCUCUGCGACCAAUCGGCCAAAAGAAACAACAGGCAUGUUCAUCCGCAACAAACAGGUGUCGAGGAGUCCUAAAAAAACUCCAAGAUUCUCUUACUAGUAAGGAUGGCAUUGCUUUUAUGAAUUAGACCUCAGAUGAAGUGGGAAAACCCCCUGAAUUUAAGCAUAUUAUUAAGGGGAGGAAAAGAAACUAACAAGGAUUCCC